rnacentral:rRNA from 1 species
UAGGGAAUAUUGCACAAUGGGCGAAAGCCUGAUGCAGCCACGCCGCGUGUACGAUGAAGGCCUUCUGGUCCUAAAGCACUUUUUAUGCAGAUGAGAAACGAUCGUAGCCUCGAAAUAAGUCUCGGCUAACUACAUGCCGGCCGCCUCAGUACACGUAGGAGGCGAGCGUUAUCCAGAUUUACUGAGGCGUAAACCGAGUGCAUUGUGGUUUGAUAAGUUGGAUGUGAAAACUCCUGGCUCAGCUGGAAGAGGUCCUUCUAAACUGUCAAACUACCAUUGAGGCAGAGGAAAGUGGAAUUCCCGGUGUAGUGGUGAAAUGCGUAGAGUUCCGGAGGAACGCCAAUAGCUGAACGCGGAUUUCUGGAGCGUUUCUGACGCUCAUACGCGAAAGCUAAGGCAGAAGACGGGAUUAGAGACCACGGUAGUCCUAGAGAUAAACUGUGUGUCCUUGGCGUUGGUGGUGAUCAACUCCAUCAUUGCCAAAGCUAACCCGAUAAGUUCGCCACCUGGUAACUACGGCCGCUGGGUUA